rnacentral:misc_RNA from 1 species
AAAGUCGUAACAAGGUCUCCGUUGGUGAACCAGCGGAGGGAUCGUUACCGAGUUUUCAACUCCCAAACCCCUGUGAACAUACCAAUCGUUGCCUCGGCGGGAGAGCCCCGGGCGCUGGCGCAAGCCUCGCACCGGUACCAGGCGCCCGCCGGAGGACCCAGACAAACUCUUGAAUUCUAACGUAUCUUCUGAGUAACAAAAGUUAAAUAAAUUAAAACUUUCAACAACGGAUCUCUUGGUUCUG